rnacentral:rRNA from 3 species
CCUACGGGAGGCAGCAGUAGGGAAUCUUCCGCAAUGGACGAAAGUCUGACGGAGCAACGCCGCGUGAGUGAUGAAGGUUUUCGGAUCGUAAAGCUCUGUUGUUAGGGAAGAACAAGUACCGUUCGAAUAGGGCGGUACCUUGACGGUACCUAACCAGAAAGCCACGGCUAACUACGUGCCAGCAGCCGCGGUAAU